rnacentral:rRNA from 1 species
UACGUAGGGGGCAAGCGUUGUCCGGAUUUAUUGGGCGUAAAGAGCGUGUAGGCGGUUGGGUAGGUCCGUUGUGAAAACUCGAGGCUCAACCUCGAGACGCCGAUGGAAACCCCCCAGCUAGAGUCCGGAAGAGGAGAGUGGAAUUCCUGGUGUAGCGGUGAAAUGCGCAGAUAUCAGGAAGAGCACCCGUGGCUAAGGCGGCUCUCUAGUACGGUACUGACGCUGAGACGCGAAAGCGUGGGGAGCGAACAGG